AUUGAACGCUGGCGGCAGGCCUAACACAUGCAAGUCGAGCGGCAGCGACUUAACUGAACCUUCGGGGAACGUUAAGGGCGGCGAGCGGCGGACGGGUGAGUAAUGCCUGGGAAUAUGCCCUGAUGUGGGGGAUAACUAUUGGAAACGAUAGCUAAUACCGCAUAAUCUCUUCGGAGCAAAGAGGGGGACCUUCGGGCCUCUCGCGUCAGGAUUAGCCCAGGUGGGAUUAGCUUGUUGGUGAGGUAAUGGCUCACCAAGGCAACGAUCCCUAGCUGGUCUGAGAGGAUGAUCAGCCACACUGGAACUGAGACACGGUCCAGACUCCUACGGGAGGCAGCAGUGGGGAAUAUUGCACAAUGGGGGAAACCCUGAUGCAGCCAUGCCGCGUGUGUGAAGAAGGCCUUCGGGUUGUAAAGCACUUUCAGUAGGGAGGAAGGUAGUGUAGUUAACACCUGCACUAUUUGACGUUACCUACAGAAGAAGCACCGGCUAACUCCGUGCCAGCAGCCGCGGUAAUACGGAGGGUGCGAGCGUUAAUCGGAAUUACUGGGCGUAAAGCGCAUGCAGGCGGCCUGUUAAGUCAGAUGUGAAAGCCCGGGGCUUAACCUCGGAAUUGCGUUUGAAACUGGCAGGCUAGAGUCUUGUAGAGGGGGGUAGAAUUUCAGGUGUAGCGGUGAAAUGCGUAGAGAUCUGAAGGAAUACCAGUGGCGAAGCGGCCCCCUGGACAAAGACUGACGCUCAGAUGCGAAAGCGUGGGGAGCAAGCAGG
rnacentral:rRNA from 1 species